rnacentral:rRNA from 1 species
AACGAACGCUGGCGGCAUGCCUAACACAUGCAAGUCGAACGAGACCUUCGGGUCUAGUGGCGCACGGGUGCGUAACGCGUGGGAACAUGCCCUUAGGUUCGGCAUAACUCGCCGAAAGGGGUGCUAAUACCGGAUAAUGUCUUCGGACCAAAGAUUGAUCGCGUUAGGAUGGGCGCGCGUGGGAUUAGCUAGUUGGUAGGGUAAAAGCGUACCAAGGCGACGAUCCAUAGCUGGUCUGAGAGGAUGAGCAGCCACACUGGGACUGAGACACGGCCCAGACUCCUACGGGAGGCAGCAGUGGGGAAUAUUGGACAAUGGGCGAAAGCCUGAUCCAGCAAUGCCGCGUGAGUGAUGAAGGCCUUAGGGUUGUAAAGCUCUUUUAUCCGGGAUGAUAAUGACAGUACCGGGAGAAUAAGCGCCGGCUAACUCCGUG